rnacentral:rRNA from 1 species
GACGAACGCUGGCGGCGUGCUUAACACAUGCAAGUCGAACGUGAUUUUUGUGGAAAUUCUUUCGGGAAUGGAAAUGAAAUGAAAGUGGCGAACGGGUGAGUAACACGUGAGCAACCUACCUUACACAGGGGGAUAGCCGUUGGAAACGACGAUUAAUACCGCAUGAGACCACAGAAUCGCAUGAUAUAGGGGUCAAAGAUUUAUCGGUGUAAGAAGGGCUCGCGUCUGAUUAGCUAGUUGGAAGGGUAAAGGCCUACCAAGGCGACGAUCAGUAGCCGGUCUGAGAGGAUGAACGGCCACAUUGGAACUGAGACACGGUCCAAACUCCUACGGGAGGCAGCAGUGGGGAAUAUUGCACAAUGGGGGGAACCCUGAUGCAGCGACGCCGCGUGAGCGAAGGAGGUUUUCGAAUCGUAAAGCUCUGUCCUAUGAGAAGAUAAUGACGGUAUCAUAGGAGGAAGCCCCGGCUAAAUACGUGCCAGCAGCCGCGGUAAUACGUAUGGGGCGAGCGUUGUCCGGAAUUAUUGGGCGUAAAGGGUACGUAGGCGGUUUUUUAAGUCAGGUGUGAAAGCGUGAGGCUUAACCUCAUUAAGCACUUGAAACUGGAAGACUUGAGUGAAGGAGAGGAAAGUGGAAUUCCUAGUGUAGCGGUGAAAUGCGUAGAUAUUAGGAGGAAUACCGGUGGCGAAGGCGACUUUCUGGACUUUUACUGACGCUCAGGUACGAAAGCGUGGGGAGCAAACAGG